rnacentral:tRNA from 2 species
GGAGGGGUGUGCCGAAUGGUAAGGCACCGCUCUCGAAAAGCGGCGCCCGCAAGGGCUUGCAGGUUCGACUCCUGUCCCCUCCG